ensembl:ncRNA C16B8.13 ncRNA
CUAAUAAAUUGAGACGUAUCGCCUACAGAAUAAUUCAUCAACGUGUGUCUAUCCUGACUACAUAUGUUGUUUAUGACAGCCGCAGGUAUUCGUUAAUUGAUGAGUGGGGAGGGUCCCGUGGUUUCGUUUCAAAUGCGGCUGUCAGCAGCUAGAACUACUUGUAAUAUUGUAAUGAGAAUGUUGUUGUGUCUUGUAGAACAAGAAGCGGGGGAUAUGCGCG